rnacentral:rRNA from 1 species
UACGAAGGGGGCUAGCGUUGCUCGGAAUCACUGGGCGUAAAGGGUGCGUAGGCGGGUCUUUAAGUCAGAGGUGAAAUCCUGGAGCUCAACUCCAGAACUGCCUUUGAUACUGGCGAUCUCGAGUCCGGGAGAGGUGAGUGGAACUGCGAGUGUAGAGGUGAAAUUCGUAGAUAUUCGCAAGAACACCAGUGGCGAAGGCGGCUCACUGGCCCGAUACUGACGCUGAGGCACGAAAGCGUGGGGAGCAAACAGG